GCCUGAGUGGCUCAGUCGGUUAAGUGUCUGACUUCAACUCAGGUCACGAUCUCUCGCUUCAUGGGUUCGAGUCCCGUGUCGGGCU
rnacentral:tRNA from 1 species